UUCCUGAAACUUUUUAUCAUUUUGAACAUAUAACGGAAAAAAGUCGGGAAAAAAAAAAUCCACGUCCCUUCCCAUCUCACCGGUUCUACCCUUUCCUUGGAACUAUUCAUGUCAAGCUCUAGAGACAACAAAGAACUGACCUUCAGGCUGAUCCCAUCAAAUGUCUUUUACGUUGCUUUUAAGUUUGCCUAGAUCUAGACAGCGUGCAAUAUACAGCACCGAGGCCCAAGGAAGGGCGGGCAUUUCUACAUUAAACACAGAUAACACCUGUAUUCCUUAUUAGGAGACAUGAGCUAAGUUCCUGAUAGCAAAAGAUAACUCACUUCAUAUUUCCAGGACACACUGAUAAAUCAAUGGAAGGCUGCAAAAUAUAGAACUGUUUCUUUAAAUAAUAAAACAUAUUUCCAAAGAGAGACUUGGCACAUAUGUAAGCCACAGAGCUCAUUGAAUCUCAGUUUCACCAAGGACACUGAGCUGCUGAGGGCAGCACGUACAGGGGUACCGGGAUGCUGAGCGAAUGCACCCACAGGAAAUAGCGAGAGGAGCUGAAUAAAGGCAGGAAUGUUCUGGCAGGUCUGUUCAGAUGUGCAGAUACAGCAAACACGUACAAGCUAAACAGAAACACGCAGGUAACUGUAACCGAGAGCUUUGUUAAGACAAAUUCACUUCUGCAGAGCGUAAAAUAUUUAUUAUCACCACAGGUGGUGUAACAGUUUGUUUUACAGACACUCACAAAUCUUUCCAUUAAAUCUAUAAAAGAAGCAGAUUUACCACCUUUACCCAAACUCAGAAAAGUGACUGAACCACAAAACCCUUGGAGAGACAGGAGUCCCCAGCCUCCCUUCCUUUGGGUGACUGUCCUUUGCUAAAUUUGGGUAACUGCACACAGCCGCUCUGGGCACCAACAUUGCCAAAAGGUUGGUAAGAACUGAAAGGGAUGCAAAACUCAUGGGUGUGGCUGCUGCCAUUGGAGUUGGUGUCAAAGAAAUCCAGCUGUCCUUCCCACAAGCCCUCAGAUUGGUGCUGUGCACAGCACCGUGCCCGGAGCAGAACACACUCCGCCAUGCUGGGAAACGCUUGGGGCACCCACUCAAAAGCACAGAGUCCAGACCCGAUUGCAAAGGCCCAGCAGUACUAAAUCAGCCACAAACAGAGCUCCAGCCCAGACUCAAAGCUCCAGAUGCUCUUCCUCUUUUCAUUUCCUCUCUGAACUGCUCACUAACAUCUGUGUUUCCUUUUAAAUACCAUGCUACAAUCCAAAAGCAUUUGUAAAGUAUGUUACUUUGUACCAGAGUAGGCUGCUAUUAGAUAAAGGUGGCAGAACAUAAGGACUAUGUGGAAGUUUAUGCAGAAAGCAUGGCAAAGCAAGCCUUCAGCAGGCAGCACCUCCUCUUCAUGCUCCUCUGCGCAGUAUCUCCCAGCUCAUACUCAUGCUCGCCUCUGGUGAAAGCUUGCCUCAGUAGUUGCUGCUUUCUCAUUUUCCCUCCUUCAGCUGUAAGACAGCCUGGACAGCAAUGCAUCUGCUUGAGGAAAUGAGACCUCCAAAAGCUUGCAGUUCUGUUACAUAUUUUUUCAGAUCAAGCACCCCACCUUUAAAUUCAUUUUUGGAGUCAAUGAGCUUUCAGUUCCAUGUUUACACAGCACUGAGCCCUUGGAAGGCAGAAUUAACCAGGCAGACAACCAGGGGCUGUCUCAGCGAUGUCGCAGCUUUAAAAACCAAGCAGAUACACAGCAAGUCAUAGAGGGCACAAAAGCCUGCUGUUCCUGCCCACAGCAGUAUCUGCUCCUACUCGCAGCUCAUUAAUUGCUAGUUUUCCUGAUUAUAGAAACAGCUUUUUCCGCAGCUGAAAUGUAUGGCAUCGUGUCAUUUGCAUAUGCAAACUGACAUACGAACAAUGAACCAGUUGCACAGUUCCUUAGAGAGCAACAAUGUAGAGGAUUUACGAUACGUAUAUGGCAACAGGCAGGGAGGGGAGUAUGUGGAAGUGGACACACAACGGCGCAUCACGUUCUUUAUAUUGUUUUCCUGAUAAAUAAUCUUUCAUGCAAUUUCCUGAGACAAAAUAUUUAACGUUUGUGGAUUAAUGACGUUUAAUUUGGGAAAAGAAUAGAACUAAGUAACUGUGCAACUUUUCUGUGCCUCCAGAAGCAUACAUAUUCAUUAGAUUUCCAUAUACGAUCUCUCAUUACACGGUCACACACUGUUCCACCACAAGAUCUCUACAUUAUUCAGUGCAGAGAAAACAGGGCUAAUUUCAUGAGCAGCUUAGCAUUUUGGUUUCUUCCUGUUACUCAAGGUAUAACCCAAGACAUUAUUUUUAUGUGCUAUUUAAAUUCUACUAUCAAAAAACGAAUCCCCUGUUUCUUUAUCAACAUUCAUCGCUAUAUCUAGAACACGUCACUAAUUUGUUACUAUUAUUCUCCUAGGUUGGAAGACGGGAGAUGGUAUUAUUACUCUCAUUUUACAGACCACAGACUGAACGUAGACAGCUUAGGGGAAAAAGUGUCCAGGUAGAAAAGGGGACUUUGUAAGGAACCCAGCACAGAGGAAGGCUGUACUACGAUCCUUUGAGAAAUACCAGAGAACGGCCACAGCUGCAGAAAGGCACUGACAGCACAGAGCAGAGGUGGAACAAAGAAUCCCCUCAGGUCUCUGCCUGGCACAGCUGUUCCAACACUUAUGGUUACGCUGCUGCCGGAGCAGGUAAGGCACUUCUCACGUCACGGGGUACAGACCUCGGCGAGGGCUGACCUUCCACCAAGGCCUAUGCCACAGCUCACCUGCACUAGUCACCGUUGUGUACUUUCUCCAACCACUCCCCUGUCACCACAGAAGCCUUUCGAGUUUAAAACCAGACUCAAGUAAUUCCACCUCUGGAAAGCACUUGGCAGGUUCUUCUCUAUUGGAAGGGCUAAGAUAAAUGGAAGAAUCUCAUUUUCUGUACUAGCGAAAUACAUGAUCAAAAUGACUGUACUGAUACAAAUGGUAUCUUCCAGGUAGCAUUUAAUAAAUUCCCUUAAUGAACCA